AUUUUUGUAUACAUAUAUGAAGUCGGGCCUGCCCAGUGAGUUUAUUCAACGGCCGCGGUACCCUGACCGUGCAAAGGUAGCAUAAUACUUGCCUUAUAAUUGAAGGCUGGAAUGAAUGGUUUGACAAGAGUGUAGCUGUCUCAUUAUAAUUUAAUAGAAUUUUAUUUUAGGAUGAAAAAGUCCUAGUUUAAUUAAAAGACAAGAAGACCCUAUCGAGCUUGAAAUUAAUUAGUAAAAAAUUAAUACUUAAAAAAUUAGUUAUUAAAAAUUUUGGUUGGGGCAACUAAGGAGCAAAAAAAGCCUCUUUUCUAAAGUUAAACAUAUAGUAAGGAUCCAAUAGUUUUGAUCAAAGAAAAUAGUUACCGUAGGGAUAACAGCAUUAUCUUUUUUGAGAGCCCUUAUCGAAAAAAAGGUUUGUGACCUCGAUGUUGGACCAGAAUAUCCUAAAGAUGCAGGAGUC
rnacentral:rRNA from 1 species